rnacentral:lncRNA from 1 species
GAUAAGGGAAGGGAUCAAAAUCCCUAGAUCGCCUCCAUUCCCCAUUGGGCCUGGCAACACCUCUCCUUCCCUCGUCUCCUUCUCCCACCUCCGGCCGCCACCGCGGCCAGGCCAGCGUGGUGGCGCACCAAGCAGCCACCGCCGCCAUCCAUCCAUCCAUCUCCAGCACCACCUCUCUCCUUGCUGCACCCUUGCUGCCGUUCUUCCCCAACCUCUGCUGCUUCUCUCCUCCGAUCUGAACUCUUGUGCUAUUCCCUGUGAUCCUUGCUGCUCCUCCUCCUUCUCAAUCUCUGCUGCUUCUUCUCCAAGACCCCAAGCCGCUGCUCUCUUCUUCCCUCGCCUCAAACUGCUGCUGCUCUCUUCUUCCCUCGCCUCAAACUGCUCCUGCUCUCUUCUCCCCUGCGCCUCCACACUGCUGCUACUACUUUCCUUUGCUGCUGUCCCAUCUCCCCAUGCGCCUCUGCUUCUUCUUCUUCCCAAACCUUGCUGCUGCCGCUCUCUUCUCCUACGUCACUGCUGCUGCUCUUCUUUUCUUUCCCCUACUGCUGCCCUUCUUCUCCCUCAACCUCCUGCUGUUGCCUUCUCUCUCUCUAAAAUUUUGGUAGUAUUGCGAGAUGUUUAAGACUUUGUAAGGUUCAGAUUUGAAGAGUACUUGCAACCUGUUGUUUGCUCAAUUUAGUAUUUGUAUAAUAUAGUGAUUUGUUCAGUUUCAGACUUGUGUUUCUAGUGUUACAUUGGUGAUCUGUGAGCUGAACCGUGGCAUGUGUCACUCAGUUUGUAUGCUUGAUAAUUAGCUAUAUAUAUCCCCUGUCCAAUUCUUUCUUAAGAACCUUGUUACAUUGUGUAGUCUUUGUGUUAGCGCAAGUACGUGUGAUAUAUAUACAUUUGUGUGUGUCUGUGAUGUGAUGCAUUUUAUGUUCUAUCCUGCAACCUUGUUUCUUCUCCCUGUUAAAUGUUAGAUAGUUAGAUAUAUGUUCUUGUCUUUUUAAUUCCCUAGCUGUUUGAUGUUUGCUUGUGUUAGCACUAUAUUCUUCGAGUAAUAUGGAAAUUGCCAAAAAAGACUCCCUAUGCUAUUUUGCAUUUUUUUUUUGACGAUCAUUGAUAGUUUAGGUUUAUUUUCUGUUUCCAUCUCCCAAUAUAGUGUCACCUAGCUUUAGCCGAGCGUAGCCGCUGAUCGCCUAGUCCCUGUGGAGAACACGACACUCGCAGUUUGGGCGUAAAAAUCCCGCUGUACUUACACUUGAUCAUUUUGGCGCCGUUGCCGGGGACUAGCAUCGAGCGACUGUGUGAAGCUAUAGACUAGGCUUAGUAUAAUUUUUGUUUAAAUUUCCAGUCAAAUUUAUUUCUGUUUUUCUUUUACCUUUUUACUUUUUGUUGCUUCGGCUUAUUAGGGUACUAACCCUCUCACCAGUCUUUGAUGUUUGUGAGCGUGUGUAGGGUAUCUUACUAUUUGUAGGCUCAUUGACAGUUGCACUUGAACAUAUGGCUUUAGUACAUGAUCUUUGGUUGCCAAGUAGUUUGGACAUGAUAAGAGGGCCAAUUUGGCCAUCUAUUGAGGCCAAAAAUUUUGAGUUGAGGCCUGAACUUAUUGCUCUUGUCUUGCAGAAUCAGUUUAGAGGAUUACCCAAUGAAGACCCUCAUGAGCACAUUAGUAAUGUUUUGGAGUAUGCCAAUACAGUCCAGUACCAUGGCGUUUCCCAAGAUGCUAUCAAGUGUAUGUUGUUCACAUUCUCUCUCAAAGAUGCUGCUAAGGACUGGUACUAUUCUUUGCCAUCAAGAUCAUACACUUGGGGUGAUAUUUCGCAAGCUUUCCUGCAUAGAUAUUUUCCACUUUACAAGCAAGCUGCAAUUCGUGACCAGAUCCUUAGUUUUGUGCAAGAUGGAAGUGAGAGCUUGUAUGCAGCUUGGGAUAGAUAUAAGUAUUUGCUUAGAAAAUGUCCUAAUCAUGGGCAAAAGGAUUGGUUAGUGCUUCAGAUAUUCUAUAGAGGGCUGACACAUGCUUCAAGAGAUCUUAUUGAUAUGUCAGCUGGUGGAACAAUCACGAACAAGACCGUUGAGGGUGCAGUUAUUCUCAUUGAGAGCAUUGCCUUCCACCAAAUGCAAUGGGGUUAUGAAAGGCCUAGUUGAAAUCCGAAGGUUGCAAGUUGUGUGCAAUCAGAAGCUGUGUGUUCCAUAACUGAACAGAAAUCAUCCAUGGUACCUAAUAUUCAAAACCAGCAUGUUUCAUUCCAGGGACAACAACAUUUCAGAACUGAAUUAGAGCCUCCAUAUAGAAACAUUAAUCUUACUUCAAUUAUCCUUGAUAAUGAUUAUGAUAUUUUCCAAGAUGAUGCAACCACUGUAGAUCAGAUGGAUACCACAGUAGCAGAUCCAAUACCUCAUGGUAAUGAAACUGUUCAGAAUGAGUCAAAGUUACAAGAAGAGGUUUAUGAGGAACCUACUCUGAUUGAUGCUAAGUUGAGACAGCAAGAUAUGAAGAAAUUCACUUGUGUUAGUCAGCUAUCUGACUGGUGGAAUUUAGUCGUGUCACCAAUUGCCCACACUUGUGUUACAACUGUAUCUAGACUAUUUGUCAAGAAGAAAUCAUUAGCUCCACCAAAUCAUGCACAUACAAUUAAAGAGAGUAUCUCAGAGAAGAAUAGUGAAGAUGAGAUUCCAACUCCUGCACAUACAAUUAAGCAAGUCGGAGACAAUCCAAGGAGAGAGAUACAAGAGGUUGAGUCAAAUUUAGAAGAGCUGAUACUUCAAUAUCCUGAGAAGAUCCCAUGUGUUGCUGAGCUGCAUGACUGGUGGAAGUCAUCAGUGUCACUGUUGAAACUUAGCAAUGAUGGUGAUGAGGAGAACAUUGCUCAGAAAGACAGCGAGGUAGUGAUCUCAGCACCCCUACCAGAUCAUGUUAGUGAAUAUUCACAGAUGGGGACACUUCAGACACAAUUAAGUGUUGCUGGUAGUAGCACCAUAGAAGAUCCAAAGGAAGAGAGACCUCAAAUUGAAGAUGUACUCGAAGCCAAGGCACAUGAUGAUCCAGAGCUCGAACAACCAAGUAAUCAAGUUGCAGACUCAUCAUCUACUACUCUUGAAGAAGCAAAGGAAGCUGCUGUAGAUGAACUUGAAGAACCAGAAAUUCAUUUGCCUAUUGUCACACAAGAGCGUGAUGUAGUAGGUUUAUGUAAUCCUCUUGAUGACAUGAGUCCAUAUGAAUUGUUUGCUACUACCUUGCAUUGCAUGAUGCCAUCUGUUAAAGUAGAUUUGAAAACGUAUUUGCUUGGAUAUGAUCAUAUAUACCUUGUUAGUGGCAUUACUCACAUUAGGGAUGAUCAUAGUUACUUUCAUCAUGCUAGACCUAUGCUUAAUGAAACAUAUCAUUCUCAUACUAGUCUUGAGCUUAAUGAUAAAUGCCAUCCUCAUGUUAGUGUUGACCUUGCUGAUUUCUAUCACCCUAAACAUGUGCUUUAUAGCUAUGCUUAUGUAAUUGGACACUCGAUUGAUGACUUCGAGGGUAUUAUCCCUACCACUCGCAUUGUCUCUUUUGUUGAGUGCCUUUUCAGGUUUUUGCUUCUGCACCGUUCACUUCAUGCUGACCAGGUUUGAGGUGACAUUCCUUGGGACCCUGGUGGACUUAGAGCACGGUGAAGAGGAGAAGCAAUGGGCACACAUAUGGAAGAGAGAAGCUGGAGCAGGCAUGAGGAUUGAGAAGCAAAAGGAGAGGAGCUACAGUUGGUGAGAUAAUCGAGCGAGUGCUACAUCAAAGCCCGGUGAGCUAUUUCAUGACCCAUUUUGAAACCAUCAUACAUUAUACAUGAUGUAAUCAACUGCUAUUUGGGUCGCUUGAGCAAUCUCUUAAAUAUCGUCCCACUGAAUUUUACCUUUGACAUAGGGUGAUUGAUGUGAAUAUGUGAACUGAGUGUUGAAUGCCUUGUACACUAGUGAUCUACACAAUGCUUGCUUUGCUGAAAGUAGUGAAAGCUAUUAGUUUGGAGUGCUUAAAUCCCUAGUACAUUAGAAAACUUAAUCAUUUUCUGCUUUUACCUCGAUACACCUAGAUCAUUAAGUGUCAGAUGUUGAGUUUGUGCCUAAUGUGUUCCCAUUGAGAGCAAUCACCUAACCAUUAUGGAUUAGCAUGUUAUGUUCCCUAGAUCGGUAGCAUGUGAACCAGACAUGGAGAAGAUCCGAUUUUUGUGCUUAUGCGUUGUUCAUUUAAAAAAAGUAUAUCUUAUAAUAAUUAAUUAUCUGAUCUUACCUAACAGUAGCAUGUCAUGUUCCCUGGAUCGGUGGCUUGUGAAAUCUGGUUGGAUCGGAUAGGAGUUAAUUAUAUUUAAAAAAUGCUAUAAUUGUCGAACUAGGUGUAUACCAUGUUCUCGGGAUUGGUGGUAUGUUCCUUUAGGGAGGCAAACAAAAAAACUAUAUAAUUGGUCGAGCCGGGUGUAUACCAUGUUCUCGGGAUCGGUGGUAUGUUCCUUUGGUGAGAUCAAUAAAAUAUUAUCAUUACUUCCUUCAAAUUCAAUAAAUGGUUCAACCACAAUGUUGUGUUCCUGGUAAUAAGUGAUCUGAUCACAAGUUUAAGUUCUUUUUGUUCUCGGGGUCAUGCUCUCUUUAGGAACCUUUUGGCACAAUCAUCAUUUGAACUUGUUGAUCCACUUUUAUCAUUGUAAACAUUUAAAACGAUCAAGUCUACUAGUAUCCUAUUGCUUUGAAGCACUCCUAACCAUUAAUUUUCACUAGCUAAGUCUGAAGCAUGCCUUGUUUGGAGAUCUAUUUUACCAGGACAUUCUUUACUCAGUUCACUGUUCAAAUUCUUGCUCUUGUCAUAUGCCUUUGCUUGAGGACAAGCAAAGAUUUGAGUGUGGGGGAACUUGUCGGUGUACUAGAGUAGGGGUAUCCUAGUAUCCCGAACUUGUGCACGGGCAGUUGCAGCGCCCCGCGGCAAGGCUUGCCAAAUGACCACCGAGGCCCUCCAUGGUUCCUUUGGAGCCAUUCAAGAACAAAGUAUUUAAGCUCAGGAGACAAGGCCCCGGCAAGAGGAGCUUGCCGGGAAGGCCAACCAAGGCAUUUCAAGGAACUUGCUGCGACGCGCCGCGCGUCCCGGCAAGGCCCGGUGAGCGACAAGCUUCCGGACCCGGCAAGACAACAGCCGCGGCAGGCUACCACUAUGUACCCACGCUCUAGCACAUCCACCAACAUGUCGCUCUGGGGGCCUUUCCAGGCGCGCAUGGCGAGAGGCUGUGCAGCCAGCGGUGCGCGGUGGCAUGCGAAGCUGACAAGACUGCCAUCGUGGCGAGCGGUGGCGCCCAUGACGGUCCCUUUUUAUACUGUUUGGGCGACGCAGACGGGCAUUUAAUGCCUUUGUCCCCUGUCGUCAGGGUUAGGUAGGAUGCACUGUGCAGGUGGUUGUACCAACCGCAACUUCUUUUCCAUUUUUACCCUCGUCUGCGUUGCCACCUGUCGGUGACCCCUUUAACAUAUAGAAGGAGGCCCAUGCGCAACGUAGAGGAGGUUCUAACCCAGAAAAGACACACGCUCGGUCUCGUUCGCAGCUAGAGUGUACUGUAGCAUUCAGCGCUCCCGAGCAAGAACACAAUACAAUCAGACAAGCAGCAGUAGUAUUAUCUCUCCGGAGAGCUCCGAAGCUGGGUAAACUGCUCGUGUGCUUCGCCUCGACCCGCUCUUCGUGCGAUCUCCGCCCCCAGCCGAACCGAAAGGGGCCCAGUCCGCCGGCCCCAUAGGUGUUCGUGGAUCAGUUUCCCCGACAUCUUUGGCGCGCCAGGUAGGGGGCGUCGAGAUUGCGUGAACCUGAUCCGGCGUUCACACGAGCUAGAUCUUCAUUUUCUUCAUCGACAUGCCACCGAAGAAGAAGACUUCGGCGGCAGCUGCUCCGUCCACGUCACUUCCACCACCGCCGGAGCAAACGGGUGGUGGAGUAGACACCGGCGGAAGAACGGACGUCGACGAGGAAGCUCACGAUGCUGCCAAGUCCAAGGACAAGGCUCCGCAGACCUCGGCGUCCGUACAAGUACCGCGCCCAUCUCAGGAGGCGCAGGACCGAUAGGGUCAUGGUAUUCGCAGUGCCAUACGUUCGUUGGGACAAGAUCGAGCUGGUGGAUCUCGGGGUGCUCAAGACCAACAUGCACGCCAACGUGCUGGCACAAGCGAGACACGGUCGCCUGGACGGGAUACUGCUUCUUCUAACAUAGUUAGAAGUCCGAGCAUAUCCCGCUCCUCGCACCGUUCGCCACUGCCGCCCACCACUCCAGCAGAAGCUUUGGCGCGAGCUCAGCUGCUCCUGGAUUACCCUCCAGUGGAAGACAAGAUCGACCAAUGGAGGGCCACCAUUCAGAGUCUCAUCGGCUUCGCCAACGGCGACACUCCGCGGCAGCCAACUGCAUCGCAGCCGCGGCAGGACUGCCAGGCGCGAGCCGGUGGUGACGAAACCGGUGGGGGUGCAACCACCAUGCACUCUCCACCCCGAAGGCCAAGAUCGCCGACUCGUCGGAUCCACCUCGACAGCGACUCCACUGCGUCAUCGGAUCCACGAGCUCGUCGCGAUCAGCGCCAAGGUCUUCAUGAACGAUAGCAAGAAGACGCUCGUACUCGCAUCGAGCGCCGAAGAGAAGCGUGACGUCAAUCCGACAAGCGCGCUGGGCCCUCUGUUGACAUGCAUGCGCCAGGGGAAUCAGGCGACUUACCAUAUGCGGUAGGUUGCCCUGCGUUCACUCGUGAGCUACGGCAGGUCCAGUGGCCCAGCACGAAGAAUUUUAAGCCAGAUGUACCAGAGAAGUACGACGGCAAGACGCAUCCGUCGGAGUUCCUCAGCAUCUACACCAUCGCGGUGCAAGCUGCUGGGGGGCGGGACGACAAGAUCCUUGCCAACUACUUCCCGCUAGUGCUCAAGCCCAAUGUCAGAUCCUGGCUCAUGCACUUGCCAGACAGCUCCAUAUCCUCCUGGGCUGACCUGUGCCAUCAGUUUGUCGGCGCCUUUACAGGCGGCCACAAGCCCCAUGGCCAAGAGAGCAACCUUCAUCUGCUCGCCCAGAAGGAAGCAGAGCCCAUGCGCAAGUACAUUCAAAGAUUCAGCCACGUACAGCACAAUAUCCCAGACGUCCACCCUGCCGCAGUGAUCAGCGCGUUCCAUCAGAACGUGCGAAACUUAUACAGGAUGCGAGAGGAGAUGGCGAUGUGCAAGAUCAGAGACGUCAGUGAGCUAUAUGCCCUGGCCGACAAGUGUGCACGUGCUGAGGAAGGCAGGAAACUCCUCGGAGAGAACACAGGAGCAGGAGGAUCUGAUAGUGAGGAGACUUCCCCGGCAAGGAAGAACCGGCGGCGGAACAACAGGAAAAAGAAACGCAAAUAUGUGCUAGUUGUUGAGCAGUCCGGCAAGAAAGCCGAAGCUGGUAGCUCCGGCAAGGAGGUUGCCGCAGCUGUGGCGGUCGCCGACAAGCAGGACGGCACCAACAAGCAGUAUUGCAAGAUUCACCGCACCAAAGGCCAUGACCUCCACAGCUGCAAGAAGGUCGAGCAGCUUGUUGAGCAGCAAAAGGCUGAAUACGAGCGGCGCGAUAAGGAGAAAGCCCAGGAAGGUGCUGGAGGAGCUGGCAAGAAACGUCCCGGCCGAGGAGGACGCCGCGGCAAGGCCAAGCAGCUACAAGGAGACAGACCUCCCCGCGGCCGCGACAAGGAUGAAGAUGACGACGACGAUGAAGAUAUGGAUGAAGAUGGUACCGAUGAGCAGGAGUUCCAGAAAGCCAUAGAGGUCCUGUGCGUUGACGGUGGUGCUUCUCUGCAUACUUCACACCGCCAGCUCAAGCAGUGGGUGCGGGAAGUCAAUGCGGCAGAACCACCCGUCGAGUCACGCAAGCCUCUGAAAUGGUCCAGCACGCCUAUCAUCUUUGAUAUUGAGGACCACCCUGAUCGCAUAACUGCGGUCAGGUGCUUGCCGAUGUUGGUUUCACCAACUAUCCGCAACCUCAAGGUCACUAAGAUGCUAGUUGACGGCGGGGCCGGCUUGAACCUGAUCUCCUCCGCGGUGCUCCAGAAACUCCAGAUCCCUGAUGGCGAUCUCGAAGAGACCGACACAUUCCAAGGAAUCAAUCCGGGAAGGAGCAAGCCGAAGGGAAAGAUCACAUUGCCAGUGACAUUUGGCAGCGAGCUGAACUUCAGGACUGAGAGGGUCACUUUUGACGUUGCUGACUUUCCAUUGCCUUACAAUGGGAUACUUGGCCGUCCAGCACUCGCCAAGUUCAUGGCAGCCUCUCAUUAUGCAUACAACGUACUGAAGAUGCCAGGCCCGAUAAGUGUCAUCUCUGUCCCUGGCGACAAGAAGGAUGCUCUUAUCUGCACCGACAAGAUCUACCGGGAAGCAGCAGCCGCAAUAGAUCGCAACUCACUUGCCGCUGAAGCUCCCGGGGGGAAGAAGAAGACCAAGUCCGGCAAGAGCUCUGAUGCCACUCCGGCAAGUGCACCUCUUCGGAGUGCUGCACUACCGUCGGGGACGCACCAUCGAGCUCCACCGGCAAGUGUAAGAAGACAAUGGCAGCUCCACCAGAGACCAAGAAGGUGUCCGCCAAGGAGGACGGCACUGGUGGUACCUUCAGCAUCAGUGCCACUCUCGACCCUAAAUAGGAAAGCGCGCUCGUUGCUUUUCUGCGGGCGAACAUCGACGUGUUUGCAUGGCAACCGUCUGACAUCCCUGGUGUUCCCAGGAAAGUAAUCGAGCACCAUCUUGCCGUCUGUCCUCAUGCGCGGCCCGUCAAGCAGAAAGUCAGGAAACAGGCAUUGGAGCGCCAAGAAUUCAUUGCAGAAGAGAUCAAGAAAUUGGAAGCAGCAGGCCUUGUUAGAGGAGUGCUCCAUCCUACGUGGUUGGCCAAUCCUGUAGUCGUGCAUAAGGCAAACGGGAAAUGGAGGCUUUGUAUUGACUUUACCGAUGUUAACAAAGCUUGUCCCAAAGACCCAUUUCCCUUGCUGCGCAUCGACCAGAUUGUUGACUCCACGGCCGGAUGUGACUUGCUUUCAUUUCUUGAUGCAUACUCGGGAUAUCAUCAGAUCUUCAUGGCAGAAGAGGAUGAGGAGAAGACCGCAUUCAUUACCCCAUGUGGCACAUACUGUUUUGUACGGAUGCCUUUCGGUUUGAAGAAUGCUGGUUCAACAUUUGCAAGGGUAGUCCAUGACGCUUUUGAACCGCAAAUGCACAGAAAUGUGGAAGCCUACAUGGAUGACAUAGUGGUCAAGAGUAAGGACAAAGCGACCCUAAUUCAAGAUUUAGACGAAACCUUUGCAAAUCUGCGCAAGAUCAACCUCAAGCUCAACCCCGAGAAGUGCCUGUUUGGGGUCCCCUCCGGCAAGCUUCUCGGAUUCUUUGUGUCUCAACGCGGAAUUGAGGCCAAUCCCGACAAGAUCAAGACCAUUGAGCAGAUUGAAGCACCAAAGCGCGUCAAGGAUGUACGAAGACUUGCCGAUUGUGUAGUUGCUCUCAGCAGGUUUAUCUCUAGGUCUGCUAAGCGCGCCCUGCCAUUUUUCAAAAUUUUGAAAAAGGCAGGUCCAAUGAAAUGGACUCCGGAAGCGGAGGCUGCGCUGCAGGACUUGAAGAGAUACCUGUCCUCCACUCCAACACUUGUCGCACCUAAGCCACAAGAGAAGUUGUUGUUAUAUAUAGCGGCAACCAAUCAAGUGGUUAGUGCUGCAUUAGUAGCGGAGAGAGAGGCGGAUGAUGAGCCAGCAACCACGGCAGACACAUCCAGCGACAAGCAGGGGACUUCACCGGCAAGCUCUGGUCCCGACAAGGAUGGAUUUGCGCAGAAGCAUGAGAAGAUGCAGAAGAGAAUGGUGCAGCGCCCAGUUUACUUUGUCAGUUCCCUUCUGCAGGGGGCUAGGUCAAGGUACUCUGGUGUGCAGAAAUUGCUUUUCGGCCUCCUCAUGGCCUCGAGAAAGCUGCGCCAUUACUUCCAAGCACAUGAGAUCACAGUUGUCACUCGCUUUCCGUUGAAGAGGAUACUGCAAAAUCCAGAAGCAACAUGCAGGAUUGUCGAGUGGGCACUAGAACUGUCAAGCUUUGGCCUCAAGUUUGAGAGCACUUCAACUAUCCAAAGCAGAGCAUUGGCAGAGUUCAUAGCAGAGUGGACGCCAACACCAGAUGAAGAAAUUCCAGAGACGAGCAUCCCCGUCAAGGAAGCAAGCAAAGAGUGGCUGAUGUACUUUGAUGGUGCCUUCUCACUGCAAGGUGCCGGUGCUGGCGUGCUACUUGUUGCACCCACCGGAGAGCAUCUCAAGUACGUAGUCCAGAUGCACUUUUCCAAAGAGCAAGCAACGAACAAUACUGCAGAGUAUGAAGGUUUGCUUGUCGGCCUCAGGAUCACAGCAGACCUUGGGGUCAAGAAGCUCAUUGUCAGGGGUGACUCACAGCUUGUCGUCCGCCAAGUGAACAAGAGUUAUCAGAGUCCGUUAAUGGAAGCUUAUGUUGAUGAAGUGAGAAAGCUAGAAGAGCAUUUUGACGGCCUGCAGAUGGAGCAUGUUCCAAGAGCUCAGAACGACGUUGCUGAUGGCCUGUCAAAGUGCGCCGCACUUAAGUUACCUGUGGAACCAGGGAUCUUUGUGCUUAAGCUGACUCAACCAUCCGUAACACAAUCAACUGGACAGAGCAAGAAGAGGAAGUUGUUUUCUGGUGACUACUUUCCGGCAAAGCUUCCCGAAGCCGCCGCCAGGAAGUUCCUCAAGAUCAACACCAAGAGUGCUGAGGAGCAGUCUGCUCCGGCAAGCCUUAGGGUUUGUUCCGUUGAAGUAGACGCUCCCGACAAGUUUUGCUCCGGCAAGCUUGCCGGGGAACAUCAAGCUCCGGCAGAGCCACAAGUUCUUACCGUAGAAGCGGAUGUUCCCGCAGCAGCAGAUGUGCCUUUAGUCCUUGUUGUCGAGCCACAAGCUCCAGCAUGGGCACAGCAGACUGUCCAUUUCCUUCAGAUAGGAGAACUUCCCGAAGAGCAAGAAGAAGCGGAAAGAGUAGCCCGGCAGUCAAGUAUGUACCAGUUUGUCGACAACACACUAUACAGAAGAAGAUUCAACGGUGUGAAAUUGAAGUGUAUUCACCGGGAAGACGGACAAAAGCUGUUGGCGGAGAUACAUGGAGGCAUAUGUGGUCACCACAUUGGCGCAAGAGCACUUGCCGGCAAAGCGUUCCGGCAAGGUUUCUUCUGGCCGACAGCCCUCCAGGAUGCAACUGCACAAGUAACCAAGUGUGAAGCGUGCCAGUUCCAUUCCAAGCAGAUACACCAGCCAGCUCAAGCUCUCUAGACGAUCCCUUUAUCCUGGCCAUUUUCGGUCUGGGGGCUCGAUAUCCUCGGCCCCUUCCCCCGAGCUGUCGGGGGCUUUGAGUACUUGUAUGUUGCAAUCGACAAGUUCGCAAAGUGGCCAGAAGUGGAACCAGUGAGGAAGGUGACAGCACAGUCAGCAGUUAAGUUCUUCAGGUCGAUUGUUUGCCGUUUCGGGAUCCCUAACAGGAUCAUCACCGACAACGGCACGCAAUUUACGAGCCGCACCUUCAUGCAGUACGUCCAAGAUCUUGACGCCAAGGUCUGCUUCGCUUCUGUUGCUCAUCCGAGAAGCAACGGUCAAGCGGAGAGGGAAAAUGCUGAAGUGCUGCGCGGGCUCAAGACCAGAACUUUCGAUAGGCUGCACAAGUGCGGAAGGAACUGGAUUGAGGAGCUGCCGGUGGUUCUUUGGUCGACCAGGACGACGCCAAAUCGAGCCACUGGCCAGACACCUUUCGCUCUAGUCUAUGGAGCAGAGGCAGUUCUCCCCACGGAACUCGUAUACGGGUCACCUCGAGUGCUCGCUUAUGAUGAGCUUGAGCAAGAGCAGCUGCGACAAGAUGACGCGCUGCUCCUUGAGGAGGACCGUCUUCAGGCUGCUGUACGAGCUGCUCGAUACCAGCAAGCUUUGCGCCGCUACCAUAGCCGCAAAGUUAAAGCCAGAAGUUUCGAGGAAGGCGACCUUGUUCUUCGGCGCGUUCAGUCUGCCAAGAAUUCCAACAAGUUGACGCCGAAGUGGGAAGGCCCUUAUCGGGUGAAACGAGUCAUUAGGCCUGGCGCUGUCCGCCUUGAGACCGAAGAUGGCGUACCGGUGAGCAACUCCUGGAACAUUAAGCAUCUUCGUAAGUUUUACCCGUAGGGCGCGGUUGCCGAAACCCGUUCCGGCAACCACCUUUUGUACAAGUCUUGCCGAUGUUGCAUGUAAUCCUUUGUACAAAGCCGGGCGCAGAUCCCGUGCAUAAGUAAAGCUCAUAUGCUCUGCACAUCUUGUCAAUUUCAUGCUUUUUACUUUAUAUUUGCAUGCGUUAUCUGACACUUUGUGCAGCACCUACACCCGGUAAGCAAUAACGAGCCAUAAGGCUCCAUGCCUUUAUUUUCUCUUCUUUUUUUUCUCAAAAAGGAAAGGAAGAUUCCCUCGCACACAAGUUUGCCAGGGGGAAUGAAGAAGAUAAUGGUGUGGACCAGGCAUCGUUCAAGGAAGUUUCGCCGUAUCGGGAAGCAAACGACAGAAAAGCUAAGUUGCUAAAAUUUGAGCAAUCAGUUUUAAAUUUUUAAGUUAUCUUCCUCGAACGACCGAACUUUGUAUGGAAAAUCUGUGCGCGGAGGAACCAACUCGUAGCUAGUUGCGCCCUUACUUUGUUUCGAGUCUGCUCAACAAUUUAAGUGAGCUGCGACUGGUUGUGACAAGGUUUCUUGUCGGAAGCAGCACCACCAGCAGGCUGCUGACGUCCCGCACUCAGCGCUCGCGGCCCAGGUGCCUGCACCGACAAAUUCCCUAAAAGCGUAGGGUAAAAAUAUACAAAGGAAGGAGUCAAGUAAAAGGAAUAACAUAGCAAAUCUCUACCCAAAAUAGAGUUAUAUUACAAGAUAGCUUGUCGCGGCUCUAAUAGAUGUUCUCGUAACAUGACCAGCAGCGACAAAGAGAAAGAGAAAACGGGCGGCCUAAUCUACGCGAUCGCCCUCAACCCUCUUGAUCUCGCUCACCUUGUCCACAAUGGGUGUGACAAGGGCCUUGAGCGCAUCCAGAUCAGCAUCCGGCGACAAGGAUUUGAGGACGUUGGUGAGGUUGAGGCCUGGAUUGCGGAAGGCCACCUUCACCAGCACCUUCUGAAGAACCCCCGCGCAGAUCUUGCGCGACUCGUCGGCCAGCUGCUUUGGGAUCUUCUCCCGGAGUCGCUGGAGGGCCGUCGCCACGCCCUUGAAGAACAGGCUGAGCUUGGCGCUGGGUUGGAGGUGCUCGUCGGAGGAGUACCCGAGCUCCUCCAUCCCCAGCUGCGCCAGCUCCUCGUCGAUGGCGGCGGCAAUAUUCACCAGACCCUCAGUCCAGUGCUCCACAGUCUACCUGAAGGCGUCGUGGGCGGCAGCAGCAUUCGCCAGCAUCGCCUCGUCGGCCUUGGUCUUCUCCGACAAGGCCACCUCCCGCUCCCUGGCGCCGUCCAGCGUCUGAGUCAAAGUAGCCAACUUCAACUCAAGAUCCGCAUUGGAGUCCUUGGCGGCGCUAAGCUCCUUGCUCCUCUCUGCGAGGAGACCUUGCAGCUCACCAUGAGCGGCAGCAUCCUUCUCACGCUCACGCUUGAGAGCGGCAAGCUCCUCGCCGCUCGCCCGGAGAUCGGCUUCCAGCUGCGCCACCUUUGCCUCCAGCUCCUUCUUGGCGGCCUCGGCAGCUGCGGUAGCAUCCUUUGCCUCCUUGAGAGCCCCGCCAAUCGCUUGCUCGCGCGCGGCAAGCUCCUCCUCGUGGCUGUCAAGAUUGACCUUGCGCUGCACCAACUCUCCUUCCUGCGCAAAUAAGUUUUCGGCGACAAGCCGUUGCUUCUCUUCAGCUUCAGCCUUCUCGAGGAGGAAGGCUUUCCGCUCCUCGAGAAGUUGCUCCCGCUCCUCCGCCAAGGACCGGAGAGCUUCCUGCCUGAGGCCUCGGAGCUCCUCCGCGCGCUUCUCAAUAUCAACUCCCGCCUUCGCGACAAGCGCUUCUUGCGAGGCCAGCUUGGCUUGUCGGGCACGGUAGAGCGACGUCAGCUUUCGCAGCAUCCGCUCCUCUUCAGGCUCGUCGCUGCUGCUGCUUGGCGCGUCGACUACCGUCAACCCUGCGGAGGCGAGCACCUCUCCGUCCAGGAUUUCUCCCUCGACCGGCGCUCUAGAGCUUGACGCCCAGGAGAGCUUGAUGAAGAUACCAUCGCCGGCCUUCAAGUAGGCGCCGGGCUGGGGCUCUUCGGAGCCUGGCGCUGCAGCGUUGGCGGAGGGAUCGGCGGUCGGUGCAGCGCCUGGCGCUCCUGUGGCCUCGGGGCCGUCAGUGCGAUCGCCGGAUCCCUCGCCUGCUUCUGCGGCGGCAGCCUUGGCGGCCUCUUCGCCGGCGGGAUCAUCAGCACUGGCCUCUUCUUCGGUGGCCGCGGCGUCGUCGUUGUUGCCACGCACGUUCUCCUCACCGGCGACCUCAGUUUCCAUGGGCUCCGUGGCAGGUGGAUCUGACGACCGAAGAGGGGAGAGAAGUCAAGCGAAUAUACAAGAAGAAAAUCAGAAGAAGAAGAUCCCAAGGGAAGUUUUCAGGCAAGAAGAUUACCUGUGCUAGGAUCUGCGGUCGCGGUCUCAACCGCCGGAGGAUCACUGGUGUCGUCUCUUGCCGGAGAACUGUCCCUUGCCGGAGAGUUCUCCCUUGUCGGAGAGCGCUUCCUUGCCGGGGACUCCUCCCUUGGCGGCGUAGUCGAAGCAGAUGGCACUUCGGGGGUAGCUUUCGGGCAUUCCUGGUGAGGCUGUUCUGCUCCUACACAAAUCCAACAGUCAAGAUAUCAGUAGAAAAAAGAGCACCCAUGCGCGCCUGACGGCAGGAAGUAAGCUAUAAACUUACGCUGGGGGCUGCGCUGGGGGCUGCUUUGGGGAGUAGUUGCCGGGUCCGUCAAGGUGGUCUCAGACACACCCCCUGCUGACACGGUGGGAUCAUCUUCGAUGACAAUCACCGGGGCCUUGGCUCUCUUCGCCGCUCUCUGGGCCAGCGUCCUGAAAAGGAAUGGAUUCAGAUCGAAGCAAGUCAGAUACAAGACGAAAGCCAACAAAGAUCAAAGAACAACAAGAACGGCAAGGGAUCUUACUCUUCUUCUUCCUCGUCGGAGCUGAGCGCGGAGAGAUCGAAGUCCGGCUCGCCUCCGGUGCGACGAGGCAGAGGAGUAGGCUCCCUCGCCCGCUUGGCAGGAGCAGUGGCGGUGGACCGGGAAGACCCCGCUCCAGUUGCCGCAGCGGCGUGAGGCGCUCCCGCGGCAACAGUGCUUGCCGCGGUAGAGCGUGUCGCACGGCUCGGCGGCUGUUGGCUCGUCUGCCGCCCCACUGCGUCCCCGGCCUUGCGGAGACGCCUCCUUGCCGGAGCCGGGGGCUCCGCCUGUGGCAAGCUGUUUGAAGGUUCGGGCUCUUCCUCGCCGGGCUCGCUCGGCUCAGCUUCAGGGCCGGCAAGAUCUUCCUCGCCGGCAAACUCCUCGCGCUCGGCAAGGCUUGCCGCCUCUGCUGCCUCCGCCUCCUCCAUGGUGAAUCCAAAUACGCCCGUGGCAGCAGAUGCUGCCGCCUCUUCCAGCCUGGUGGCGAUGCGCUGCAUCUCCGCAUCGGUGGUGUCGUGGGUGAGGCUCUUCUGCUCGUCGGCGCGGACCGGCACUUCUACCAAGCCAUCGAAGAACUCCUGCACGAUGGCGUCUGCCGGCUCUUGCCAGGUUGGAAUGAUUCCGUGAGAGUCACACAACGGCAUCAUUGCGCGGAUGCGGUCGAGCGAAGAAUUCUUGCACAGCGGAACGACAUCCCGCGGCAAUAUGAACGGAUGUUGGGGAUCGCGCUUGAACAGCUCCAGGAGCAUCACGUCCAGCUCCAGAACAGUGAAGUUGAAGUUGAGGCCUGGGCGCAGCCUCAUGAUAUCCGCUGAGUUUUGGAACUCCCAGGCGGGUCUCCCCCUCUCCUGCAGGGGGGCGAUGCGGCAGCGAAGGAAAUUUGCGCCAACUGCGCCUACAGUGAGCCCGGCAAGCCUGAGGCGUAGGAUCCGGGUGACGGUGAUUUUCAGCCUGUCAUCUUCCGGGGCCACGUUGCUCCAAUCGUUGCCGCGUACUAUUGGGGCUUGGCGCAGGGCAGUGAACGGCUGCGGGUUCUCCUCGACGACCCAGCACCACUCAGCUCUCCACUCCUCCCAUUUGCUGUGGAGCUCUCCCUCCAGAUAGGCUUCCUUCUUGCCGACUCUCGAGAUCCAAGCGAUUCCUCCGGCAAGGGUCUCUCCUCUCUCGACUCGAGGCAUUGGGGGUGGACUUCGACAAAGUUUUCGCACAGAUGUGCAAAAACUGCCAUGGUCAGAACGGCAUUGGGGGUGAAAUCAAGGAGGCGGAACCCGUAGGUGUUCAUAAUAUCGCAGAAGAAUUCAGAGAAGGGCGGGCAGAGCCCGCAGUAGAAGAAUAACGCGAAGAAGGGGUAUCCGUUCGGAGCCAGCCUCGAAGCGGUGGCCGGGAGUACCCUCGUGCACGGAUGCGCUCGCGUCUCCGUCGACCAGAAGAGGUAGUAGUACUCCCUCAGCUCCUUCGCGUCAAGCUGAGGGGGGGAAAUGGCCCGCUCCUUUCGCAGCGCCGCGAGCCGCAGUGCCUCGGCCGAUUUCACGCCCUUCCCCUUGUCGGCUUUCGGAGCCAUGGCGGAGGUGGCGGGGGAGAUCGGCGGCGUUGGUGGGGCUGGUGGCAAUGGGGGGCGGAGCGCUGCUCUCUGUCGGCUUCGGGAAGAAGGAGGGAGCGGCGGAGAUUUUCGAGAAUGAAGUAGCAACCGACGAAGUAGGCAAACUGCCCCUGUUUCCCCUGCUUAUAAAGAGGGAGGGGGCGGAUGUUUCACCCUUCCGAAUAAAGAAACCACCCACGAUCUCUCCCAUGAUGCCGCAUUCGACGCGUGCCGUUGGGGAGGGUGCGGUGGAUACGGAGUAAGAUACGGCGUAAUCUAGGCCGCGCGUGCCCGUGCCCUGUUUUGGGCCUGGUCCAACAGCGCUCGGCACCGUGUGUGGCCCAGGCCCGGGGGCUCCUGUCGGUGUACUAGAGUAGGGGUACCCUAGUAUCCCGAACUUGUGCACGAGCAGUUGCAGCGCCCCGCGGCAAGGCUUGCCGGAUGACCGCCGAGGCCCUCCAUGGUUCCUUUGGAGCCAUUUAAGAACAAAGUAUUUAAGCUCAGGAGACAAGGCCCCGGCAAGAGGAGCUUGCCGGGAAGGCCAACCAAGGCAUUUCAAGGAACUUGCCGCGACGCGCCGCGCGUCCCGGCAAGGCCCGGUGAGUGACAAGCUUCCGGACCUGGCAAGACAACAGCCGCGGCAGGCUACCACUCUGUACCCACGCUCCAGCACAUCCACCAACGUGUCGCUCUAGGGGCCUUUCCAGGCGCGCGUGGCGAGAGGCUGUGCAGCCAGCGGUGCACGGUGGCAUGCGAAGCUGACAAGGCUGCCAUCGUGGCGAGCGGUGGCGCCCCUGACGGUCCCUUUUUACACUGUUUGGGCGACGCAGACGAGCAUUUAAUGCCUUUGUCCCCUGCCGUCAGGGUUAGGUAGGAUGCACUGUGCAGGUGGUUGUACCAACCGCAACUUCUUUUCCAUUUUUACCCUCGUCUGCGUUGCCACCUGUCGGUGACCCCUUUAACAUAUAAAAGGAGGCCCAUGCGCAACGUAGAGGAGGUUCGAACCUAGAAAAGACACACGCUCGGUCUCGUUAGCAGGUAGAGUGUACUGUAGCAUUCAGCGCUCCCGAGCAAGAACACAAUACAAUCAGACAAGCAGCAGUAGGAGUAUUAUCUCUCCGGAGAGCUCCGAAGCUGGGUAAACUGCUCAUGUGCAUCGCCUCGACCCGCUCUUCGUGCGAUCUCCGCCCCCCGCCGAACCGAAAGGGGCCCAGUCCGCCGGCCCCAUAGGUGUUCGUGGAUCAGUUUCUCCAACAGAACUUGAUAAGUGCAUUUCACAUAUAUAAUUUUGGCAUACAAAUUUACCAUUUCUUGAGUUCUGGCCACCAAUUCUUGCUAUGUAAUAUAGAAUAAUUGAAUGAAAAUCACAUAAAGGGGUUGUUGACUAGUCACUUGUUUAUUUUGCAGAAAAGUGCGACAAGGCACGAAAUUCCUCUACUACAAAUGAUCCAACGAUGGGAGUCAUGGGACCCGAGCAUGAAGGAAUGAAGUAACCGAGGGGCAAAAGAAAGAGAGAAGGGACCUUCUUGUGAAGAAAGAAGAGAAGGAGGAGGGCUAAUGUGUAAAGUUUGCAGAUCAGGGAAGGAAUCAAAAUCCCUAGAUCGCCUCCAUUCCCCAUUGGGCCUGGCAACACCUCUCCUUCCCUCGUCUCCUUCUCCCACCUCCGGCCGUCGCCGCGGCCAGGCCAGCGUGGUGGCGCGCCAAGCAGCCACCGCCGCCAUCCAUCCAUCCAUCUCCAGCACCACAUCCAUCCAUCCAUCUCCAGCACCACCUCUUUCCUUGCUGCACCCUUGCUGACGUUCUUCCCCAACCUCUGCUGCUUCUCUCCUCCGAUCUGAACUCUUCUGCUAUUCCCUGUGAUCCUCGCUACUCCUUCUUCUCAAUCUCUGCUGCUUCUUCUCCAAGACCCCAAGCCGCUGCUCUCUUCUUCCCUCGCCUCAAACUGCUGCUGCUAUCUUCUUCCCUCGCCUCAAACUGCUGCUGCUCUCUUCUCCCCUGCGCCUCCACAUUGCUGCUACUACUUUCCUUUGCUGUUGUCCCAUCUCCCCUUGCGCCUCUGCUUCUUCUUCUUCUUCCCAAACCUUGCUGCUGCCGCUCUCUUCUCCUACGUCACUGCUGCUGCUCUUCUUUUCUUUCCCCUACUGUUACCCUUCUUCUCCCUCAACCUCCUGCUGUUGCCUUCUCCCUCUCUAAAAUUUCUGUAGUAUUGCGA